rnacentral:tRNA from 1 species
GCCUGUAUGGUAUAGUGGUUUGAGCAUUGGACUGUGACUCUGGAGACCAGGGUUUGAAUCCUAGCUCAGCCA